CGCUGGCCGGAAUUCGAUAUUGAUUUGGGGGGUAAACCGGCAGGGAUGCCGGUUUAGCCGCCCCGCGCCAUGGAUGGCGCGUGGCGGCGGCCCCCCCAAAUCAAUGUCGGAUUACGGGCACAC
rfam:Pseudomonas fluorescens SBW25 complete genome